rnacentral:rRNA from 1 species
AUGGUAACUGCAAAAACUUCUAGUUAUGCUUCAGCACAUGAUGCCAAUCCAGUUUUACGUGAUGUGACGUACUACGGGAGGGUAAUUGAUAUUGUCGAGCUAAACUACUCUGGACAGUUUUCAGUGGUGUUGUUUAAAUGUGAAUGGGUUAAUGUGUUCUCAGAAACAGGAAUGAAAAAAGACAAGUACGGUUACACACUUGUCAACUUCUCACAUCUAAUACACAAAGGAGAAAAGAUUGAGCAUGAGCCUUUUAUUUUCCCUAACCAGGCGAAUCAAGCGUUCUAUGUGGAAGAUGAAUUGAAUCCAGGUUGGUCUGUGGUAAUGAAGUUGCCAAAGCCUAGAGAUGUAUAUGACUUAGGCAACUUGGAAUGGGAAGCACAGACAGAAAAUGAGCCAUUCCAUGUUUCACAGCUUGGAGAGAGUCUGAAAAUAAAGAACAAUGAAGAACAUUGGGUUAGAACAGACGUUGAGGGGACAAUAGUGGAUGCUAAUAAUGCUUCGAGCAACAAAGAAUAA